GAUCCUGGCUCACAACGAACGCUGGCGGCAGGCUUAACACAUGCAAGUCGAGCGCCCCGCAAGGGGAGCGGCAGACGGGUGAGUAACGCGUGGGAACAUACCCUCCGGUUCGGAAUAGCUCAGGGAUACUUGGAUUAAUACCGGAUACGGCCUAGCGGCGAAAGAUUCAUCGCCGGAGGAUUGGCCCGCGUUCGAUUAGCUAAUUGGUGAGGUAACGGCUCACCAAGGCGACGAUCGAUAGCUGGUCUGAGAGGAUGAUCAGCCACAUUGGGACUGAGACACGGCCCAAACUCCUACGGGAGGCAGCAGUGGGGAAUAUUGGACAAUGGGCGCAAGCCUGAUCCAGCCAUGCCGCGUGAGUGAUGACGGCCUUAGGGUUGUAAAGCUCUUUCGCUAGGGACGAUAAUGACGGUACCUAGACAAGAAGCCCCGGCUAACUUCGUGCCAGCAGCCGCGGUAAUACGAAGGGGGCUAGCGUUGUUCGGAAUUACUGGGCGUAAAGCGCGUGUAGGCGGGCUUUUAAGUCAGGGGUGAAAUGCCAAGGCUCAACCUUGGAACUGCCUUUGAUACUGGAAGUCUUGAGUCCGGGAGAGGUGAGUGGAACUGCGAGUGUAGAGGUGAAAUUCGUAGAUAUUCGCAAGAACACCAGUGGCGAAGGCGGCUCACUGGCCCGGAACUGACGCU
rnacentral:rRNA from 1 species